rnacentral:rRNA from 1 species
CGUACACUCCUGCGGGAGGCAGCAGUGGGGAAUAUUGCACAAUGGGCGCAAGCCUGAUGCAGCCAUGCCGCGUGUAUGAAGAAGGCCUUCGGGUUGUAAAGUACUUUCAGCGGGGAGGAAGGCGAUAAGGUUAAUAACCUUGUCGAUUGACGUUACCCGCAGAAGAAGCACCGGCUAACUCCGUGCCAGCAGCCGCGGUAAUACGGAGGGUGCAAGCGUUAAUCGGAAUUACUGGGCGUAAAGCGCACGCAGGCGGUCUGUCAAGUCGGAUGUGAAAUCCCCGGGCUCAACCUGGGAACUGCAUUCGAAACUGGCAGGCUAGAGUCUUGUAGAGGGGGGUAGAAUUCCAGGUGUAGCGGUGAAAUGCGUAGAGAUCUGGAGGAAUACCGGUGGCGAAGGCGGCCCCCUGGACAAAGACUGACGCUCAGGUGCGAAAGCGUGGGGAGCAAACAGGAUUAGAUACCCCGGUAGUCCCAUGAU